rnacentral:rRNA from 1 species
AAUACGUAGGUGGCAAGACGUUGUCCGGAAUUAUUGGGCGUAAAGCGCGCGCAGGCGGCCUCUUAAGUCUGAUGUGAAAGCCCCCGGCUCAACCGGGGAGGGCCAUUGGAAACUGGGAGGCUUGAGUAUAGGAGAGAAGAGUGGAAUUCCACGUGUAGCGGUGAAAUGCGUAGAGAUGUGGAGGAACACCAGUGGCGAAGGCGACUCUUUGGCCUAUAACUGACGCUGAGGCGCGAAAGCGUGGGGGAGCAAACAGGAUUAGAUACCCUGGUAG